CGGGGCGUGGCGCAGCUUGGUAGCGCGCUUGACUGGGGGUCAAGAGGUCGCAGGUUCAAAUCCUGUCGCUCCGACCA
rnacentral:tRNA from 6 species